UACGUAGGGUGCGAGCGUUAAUCGGAAUUACUGGGCGUAAAGCGUGCGCAGGCGGUUUCGCAAGUCAGAUGUGAAAGCCCCGGGCUUAACCUGGGAACUGCGUUUGAAACUACGAGGCUAGAGUACGGCAGAGGGAGGUGGAAUUCCAAGUGUAGCAGUGAAAUGCGUAGAUAUUUGGAGGAACACCGAUGGCGAAGGCAGCCUCCUGGGCUAGUACUGACGCUCAUGCACGAAAGCGUGGGGAGCAAACAGGAUUAGAUACCCCAGUAGU
rnacentral:rRNA from 1 species